rnacentral:rRNA from 1 species
CGACGUAGGUAACCUGCCUGGUAGCGGGGGAUAACUAUUGGAAACGAUAGCUAAUACCGCAUAAGAGUAGAUGUUGCAUGACAUUUGCUUAAAAGGUGCAAUUGCAUCACUACCAGAUGGACCUGCGUUGUAUUAGCUAGUUGGUGGGGUAACGGCUCACCAAGGCGACGAUACAUAGCCGACCUAAGAGGGUGAUCGGCCACACUGGGACUGAGACACGGUCCAG